GGGAGGAAUCCGCUGGUGGUGGAUGUCGCACAGAGCACGACGAACAGCGCCUUGUACCAUGAAGCGACGAACUCCGCCGGACUGGUUGCUGCGGAUGAUGGCGUUUUUCACUGCGUCCGUGAUGGAGUCGACCAUGGCAUUCAUGGAAGGGAGCGAGACACAACCCCUGUUCUUUCUUCUCGUUCGGUUCCCUCCCUGGAACCGAUGGCCUUCUUGCCGUCGAUGCAGUAGAGCGAGAGUUGCCUAGCGCUCAGUAGAGACAGUGCGUGAUAAUGUGUUGUGAAAUGAAUGGAAUGAGAGAGAACUAUUGUAUUGA